rnacentral:rRNA from 1 species
AGCGAACGCUGGCGGCAGGCCUAAUACAUGCAAGUCGAACGGUCUCUUCGGAGGCAGUGGCGGACGGGUGAGUAACGCGUGGGAAUAUGCCCUUUGGUACGGAACAACUGAGGGAAACUUCAGCUAAUACCGUAUGUGCCCUUCGGGGGAAAGAUUUAUCGCCAUUGGAGUAGCCCGCGUUGGAUUAGGUAGUUGGUGGGGUAAAGGCCUACCAAGCCUACGAUCCAUAGCUGGUCUGAGAGGAUGAUCAGCCACACUGGGACUGAGACACGGCCCAGACUCCUACGGGAGGCAGCAGUAGGGAAUCUUGCGCAAUGGGCGAAAGCCUGACGCAGCCAUGCCGCGUGAAUGAUGAAGGUCUUAGGAUUGUAAAAUUCUUUCACCGGGGAAGAUAAUGACGGUACCCGGAGAAGAAGCCCCGGCUAACUUCGUGCCAGCAGCCGCGGUAAUACGAAGGGGGCUAGCGUUGCUCGGAAUUACUGGGCGUAAAGGGCGCGUAGGCGGAUAGUUUAGUCAGAGGUGAAAGCCCAGGGCUCAACCUUGGAACUGCCUUUGAUACUGGCUAUCUUGAGUUCGGGAGAGGUGAGUGGAAUGCCGAGUGUAGAGGUGAAAUUCGUAGAUAUUCGGCGGAACACCAGUGGCGAAGGCGACUCACUGGCCCGAUAC